rnacentral:lncRNA from 1 species
AUCUGCACAUGUUCAUGACUGCUGGUGCCCUAAUCCCUGCAGGUGAGGUGUUAUGAUUAACCUAGUUUGGUCAUAUGCCUUCUCUCUGCCUAGAACGUGAGUCUGCUAGCAGAAGAAAGUGAUGGCAGAGAUGCCAAGCAGAUAAAAGCAAUAAGUACUUCAGUAAUUGAGGAUCCCACAAAGAAACCACCCAUCAGGGACAACUGACCCUGUGAGGCAGCUACCCUCAGCACAACUUACAAAACAGCCAGGAAGGAAGUCAUACACCUGUCCCAAAAGCAGAAACCAGGCCAAACAGAAAAUUGAUACCAAAAACUGUUACCUACGGCAGCAAUUUGAACAAACAAUGGGAAAAGUUCUACCAAGACAAAGUUUUGAAUAAGAAGACCCAUGACUCUGACUUCCUCUCAACCCUGUGCAGGAUGCUGAAACACUGAACUGGUGAUUUAAACCCACAUAAUGAAGGACUCCCACAGCAGCCAGGCCAGCCAUCUCACCACUGGCCUGAUGACUCCCAGCUCCCAGGGCUCAACUGAAACCUCAGAAAUAACUCUCUCUGCACAGCUGAAGGGACACCUGGAACACGUGGUGAUUCCCAAAAAGUGUUUUAAAAAUUCCUCUCCAAUUGCAUCAGAAGAUACUUAUCUAUUAAAGGAAAUGCAAAAAUCAAGCAGAGGAUGCUUAAGAUGGCAAAAAAAAAAAAAAAAAAAAAAGGAAAGAAAGAAAGAAAGAAAAGGAAACAAGAAUCUAUAG